rnacentral:rRNA from 1 species
CAAAUAUUAAAGGCAACGCCUGCCCAGUGAAUAUUAAACGGCCGCGGUACCCUAACCGUGCAAAGGUAGCGUAAUCACUUGUCUAUUAAUUGUAGACCCGUAUGAAUGGCAUCAUGAAAGUCUAACUGUCUCUUAUAAUCAAUCUAUUAAACUGAUCUCCUAGUCAAAAAGCUAGAAUAAAAACAUAAGACCAGAAGACCCUGUGAAGCUUUAACUAACCUGCCCAAACCACCAUGACAGGUACUUUAGGUUGGGGCGACCCUGGAAUAAAACAAAACUUCCAGAAACAUGACCUUAACUCAUCCACAGGCCAACAAGCCACUACAGACCCAGUCACACUGAUAACUGAACCAAGUUACUCCAGGGAUAACAGCGCUAUCUUCUUCAAGAGCCCAUAUCAAAAAGAAGGUUUACGACCUCGAUGUUGGAUCAGGACACCCCGGUGGUGUAGCCGCUACCAAAGGUUCGUUUGUUCAACGAUUAACAGUCCUACGUGAU